UACGGGGGGAGCAAGCGUUGUUCGGAUUUACUGGGCGUAAAGGGCGCGUAGGCGGUCAGCACAAGUCAGUUGUGAAAUCCCCGGGCUCAACCCGGGAACUGCGUCCGAUACUGGCAGGCUUGAAUUCGGGAGAGGGAUGCGGAAUUCCAGGUGUAGCGGUGAAAUGCGUAGAUAUCUGGAGGAACACCGGUGGCGAAGGCGGCAUCCUGGACCGAGAUUGACGCUGAGGCGCGAAAGCCAGGGGAGCAAACGGG
rnacentral:rRNA from 2 species